rnacentral:rRNA from 1 species
CGGCAACAGCUCAAAUUUGAAAUCUGGCUCUUUCAGGGUCCGAGUUGUAAUUUGUAGAAGAUGCUUUGGGUGUGGCUCCGGUCUAAGUUCCUUGGAACAGGACGUCAUAGAGGGUGAGAAUCC